ensembl:lncRNA
GGAUUUUAUUAAUUUUCUGAGCAGUUUUCAUGAAAUGUAACUCAGCUCCCACUCAAAUGUGUAACUGUAACAUAUUGAUACAAAUCAACAUAAGCCAGGAAGUUCAAAGUCUGACAAACUGUCUUUAGUUUAUGGGCUUAGUGAAAACAGAAUUUGGAGAGAACAGGAGGAUUUUAGCAAACUCACUGCAAGUUACUGAAUUAGAAGGGGUCUUUGCCAUCUAAUUCAACUUCUGCACAUGAACCUGCUGGACCAGGAGGCUACAUACCACUUACAGUCACACAGCAAGUUAACAGGCAUGUGAAACACAAAGGCAAAAGAAGUGAUCUGCACUCUUGGCUCCAUACAAAUUCAGAAUGGGACAGCUUCAGACAGAAGCUGGUGCUGGCUACUGUAUCAUUCUCGCAUCUUAAUGGGGCAGUGUCCAUCAUGCAGCGGGUGGGAACAUGGUUCUGACCCAUACUGGUGGAAUCAGCUGAAUUUCCCUGGGUUCUGCAUCCCUGGAUUCAACCAACUGAUAAUCAAAAACAUUCAAGAGGAAAAAACUGUUGAGGAGUGGCUGGAUGAACUAGCUCAGAACCCAUCUAAUCUAUGGAGACACCAGUGAGAUUCUUCCGGGUCCCCAGGGCAGUCGCAU